UACCUGAACGGGGAGCUGAAAAUUGAUUCGGCUGAGAUAAGUAUAUUUACUUAAAACCCUUUGGAAUGCUCUGCAUUCCAUGUACCUGAUCUGGGUAAUGCCAGCGUAGGAAAGCUUAUUGUCAUGCUG
rnacentral:ncRNA from 1 species